CCUACGGGAGGCAGCAGUGAGGAAUAUUGGUCAAUGGACGCAAGUCUGAACCAGCCAUGCCGCGUGCAGGAAGACGGCCCUAUGAGUUGUAAACUGCUUUUGUACGAGGGUAAACGCAGAUACGCGUAUCUGUCUGAAAGUAGCGUACGAAUAAGGAUCGGCUAACUCCGUGCCAGCAGCCGCGGUAAGACGGAGGAGUCAAGCGUUAUCCGGAUUUAUUGGGUUUAAAGGGUGCGUAGGCGGUCGGAUAAGUUAGAGGUGAAAUCCCGUGGCUCAACUUCGGAAUUGCCUCUGAUACUGUUCGACUUGCUAGUGGUUGCGGUAGUCGAACUGUAUGGUGUCUCGGCUACCUGC
rnacentral:rRNA from 1 species